rnacentral:tRNA from 1 species
GCCAUGGUGGCCGAGUGGUUAAGGUGUGUGAAUUAUGAUCACAUGGAGGUAACUCGCGGGUUCGAAUCCCGUCCGUGGCA